rnacentral:rRNA from 1 species
UACGUAGGGUGCGAGCGUUGUCCGGAUUUAUUGGGCGUAAAGAGCUCGUAGGCGGCUUGUCGCGUCGACUGUGAAAACCCGCAGCUCAACUGCGGGCCUGCAGGCGAUACGGGCAGGCUAGAGUUCGGUAGGGGAGACUGGAAUUCCUGGUGUAGCGGUGAAAUGCGCAGAUAUCAGGAGGAACACCGGUGGCGAAGGCGGGUCUCUGGGCCGAUACUGACGCUGAGGAGCGAAAGCGUGGGGAGCGAACAGG